CAGCACCUCAAGUGGUCAGGAUGAUUAUUGGGCCUAAAACGUCCGUAGCCGGUUUAGUAAAUGCCUGGGUAAAUCGUGUAGCUUAACUAUACGACUUCCGGGUAGACUGCUAAACUUGAGACCGGGAGAGGCUAGAGGUACUCCUGGGGUAGAGGUGAAAUUCUGUAAUCCUAGGGGGACCACCAGUGGCGAAGGCGUCUAGCUAGAACGGGUCUGACGGUGAGGGACGAAGCCCUGGGGCACAAACCGGAUUAGAGACCCGAGUAGUCC
rnacentral:rRNA from 1 species